rnacentral:rRNA from 1 species
GUCUAUUUGGAGAUAUAAAUAGUCUAGCCUGCUCACUGACAAAUAAUAUUGUUUAAGAGCCGCGGUAUAUUGACCGUGCAAAGGUAGCAUAAUAAUUAGUUUUUUAAUUGGAAACUUGUAUGAAUGGUUGGACAAAGGAAAGGCUGUCUCUAUAGUAAAAAUUGAAGUUAACUUUUAAGUGAAAAGGCUUAAAUAAUCCAGGGGGACGAUAAGACCCUAUAAAGCUUUAUAUGUUGAUUAAAUUUAGUUGAAUUGUUAAAUAAAAAUUUAAUUUGAUUGUUAUAUUUUAUUGGGGCGAUAUAAGUAUAAUUAUAUUAACUACUUAGUUGGAAUACAUUAGAUAAAUGUGUUAAAAUUAAAUGAUCCUUUUUAAAGAUUAAGAGACUAAGUUACUUUAGGGAUAACAGCGUUAUUUUUUUUAAGAGUCCAUAUCGAAAAAAAAGUUUGCGACCUCGAUGUUGAAUUAAAAUGUCUAUAUAAUGCAGCUGUUAUAUAAGAAGGUCUGUUCGACCUUUAAAUUUUU